rnacentral:tRNA from 1 species
GGAGGAAUGGCAGAGUGGUUGAUUGCAACUGUCUUGAAAACAGUCGUAGGUGAUGAGCCUACCCGGGGUUCGAAUCCCUGUUCCUCCGCCA